AGCAGCCGCGGUAAUUCCAGCUCCAAUAGCGUAUAUUAAAGUUGUUGCAGUUAAAAAGCUCGUAGUUGAAUUUCGGGAUCAAUACGUCGGUCGUGCUUCGGUACGUACUGGCGUAAUUGAUUUCUCCCUUCUGACGAACCAUGAUGUCAUUAACUUGGUGUCAUGGGAAAUCAGGACUGUUACUUUGAAAAAUUAGAGUGUUUAAAGCAGGCUCACGCUUGAAUACAUUAGCAUGGAAUAAUGAAAUAGGACGUUCGAUCCUAUUUUGUUGGUUUUUAGGAUCAACGUAAUGAUUAAUAGGGAUAGUUGGGGGCAUUAGUAUUCAAUUGUCAGAGGUGAAAUUCUUGGAUUUAUUGAAGACUAACUACUGCGAAAGCAUUUGCCAAGGAUGUUUUCAUUAAUCAAGAACGAAAGUUAGGGGAUCGAAGACGAUCAGAUACCGUCGUAGUCUUAACCAUAAACUAUGCCGACUAGGGAUCGGAUGAUGUUAAUU
rnacentral:rRNA from 1 species